UACGUAGGGUGCGAGCGUUGUCCGGAAUUAUUGGGCGUAAAGAGCUUGUAGGCGGUUUGUCGCGUCUGCUGUGAAAAUCCGGGGCUCAACCCCGGACUUGCAGUGGGUACGGGCAGGCUAGAGUGUGGUAGGGGGAGACUGGAAUUCCUGGUGUAGCGGUGGAAUGCGCAGAUAUCAGGAGGAACACCGAUGGCGAAGGCAGGUCUCUGGGCCACUACUGACGCUGAGAAGCGAAAGCAUGGGGAGCGAACAGG
rnacentral:rRNA from 1 species